UUUUAGUGUUUAGCAUGUUUUAUGUAGGGUUGGAGGAAGCUUUUUCUAAUCUCUUACCUCGUCGGAUAUGCGAUUUUUAUCCGUUUCACAUCUCCGUCUGCACUGUGGACUAACAUUGAGGAGUUGGCGGCCUUCACUGGAGACAGACUACCACGGGAGCCGGCGGAGUUUAACAUCGUGGAGCUGCGGGCUUGAAUGGGCUUGAAAUAUCAAAUCUCUUACUUUUAGUUGUUCUGCAAACUUUCUGAAAACAGUUUUUCACUAUCUCGAUACAUGUGACUACAACAAACCUGUCACAGUCUGCCCUCUCCUCAUUCUCAUCCACUUCACCUCCCUGUACUUUUCCACCAGUCCCUCCUUCUGCUCACCUGCCUGCCUGCCACUCCCCUCUCAUCAGCUUAACUCUCCUCAGCUGUUGCAUUCAGUUGCCUCUGAUCACCUAUUAACCCGGUAUAUAGACUCUCCUCACCAUUCACACAGUGCUAGAUUGUUCUCAGCAUUCAUGCAAGACUCUCCAGCGAUUUCCCGACUGCCUACACGGAUUCGAACCUGCCUGCCCCUGACCAUUCCGUCCUGUCGUCUUCCCGGAUAGCACCUCAGCCUUCUGUCCCCGACCUCGUGGUUUCUGUCUGCCUCUCUCCUGGGCUGUUUGGUGUAUCCCUGCAACGGCUCCUCGACUACCUGCCUGGCUUCGACUCUCCUUUCGUCUGUCCCUCGCUGGUUUGUUUGCAUUGUGUGUUGGAUCUCCUGGUUACCGGACCUUCCGCUACCCCGACUACGUCUCCUGCCUGCCCCUCUUCGGAACCCUCGCUCAAUCCUGAGCCUCUGUACUGUCUUUGGAAAGGAAAAACUUCAUUUCAACAGCCACUUUCAAGGCUCAGACUGUUUGCCGAAUACCUGCAAUGUGUCCAUUCUUGGGCCUAAAUUACAAGGUCGGAAUGUACUGCUGCACUGCCAAAGGCUACUAGCAAGCGUAGGAGCAGCUUGCCAUUCUGAAAAUGUCAAUAGGUGCACAACCUUUUAUCCGAAGAUCCAAAUAACGAAAACCUCCGAAUAGCGACAUUUUUUCGGUCCUUGAAGAAAGGUCCUUGAAAACGUUCACCGAGGGCGGCCCGCAGAGGUGACAGCGGAAACUCCGGUCGGUCCUUGAAGAAAGGGGAACUAAAUCCCCAUUCAUAAAAGAGAAGGCCUUCACAUGUGCUACUGAACAGCGGCAUUCCAUAUGAGGUGGCAGAAAAUGCCAUUCGGUUAAGUGUGGGACGGGCAACAUCAAAAGAGGAUGUUGAUACCAUCGUAGAAGAGCUGAAGCUAGCAGUCAAAGAAAUCAAAUUGUGUGCUGCUCAGACUUGAGUAGCACCCAGAGAAGAACUGAUUACUGCCUCAGAAAGGUAGAACUCCACAGAGGAACCAUGUGGCCUUACCACCCAGAGGGAGUGACUUUAAUAUUCCAACAAAUUGUGCCAGUUCUUCUUUUGUGAUUAAAUCAAAAACAAUCACAAGUUUUAAGGAAUUUCUAUUUCUAAUACCUGUAUAUUCAAUUUGCUGCACAUAUAUGUUAUGAAAACGUUCCAUUUGGAUUUAUUUUAGUAAUUUUCAUUGUUAAUCUUGGAUUAAUCAUUGGGGGUGGAGACGUGUUUAUUUCAGUUAAAUCCUAUUUCAGCAAAAUUAAUAAAACGUCCAGUUGGCUCCUGGAAAAAAAUCAA